rnacentral:tRNA from 1 species
AGCGUCGUAAUUCCGGGGAAUUCGGCGUUCGCACUUGACUGGGGGUCAAGGGGUCGCAGGUUCAAAUCCUGUCGUCCCGACCA